rnacentral:lncRNA from 1 species
GCGCAAGUCUCUAUUUGGGCGGCGUUCCAAUGCCCACAAGGAUGUCGCCAAAAAAGAGGCUUUGGACCCAAGGCGUGUGAACGGCAUUCUAUGCUACACAGCAAGGCACUUCGACGUUGCGGAGAUCAAAAACAUGUUGUCAUCGAUGCUCGCGCGCGGGUGUUGAAAUGUGCUUAAGAAAUGUUACUUUUGAAAAAGA